AAAGGUAUAGUUUAAUGUUAAAAUAUUGAAAUUUGAUUUCAAUGAUAUAGGUUAGAUUCCUAUUUCCCUUA
rfam:Theileria parva strain Muguga apicoplast, complete genome, whole genome shotgun sequence.